rnacentral:tmRNA from 1 species
GGGGGCGAAACGGCUUCGACGGGAUGGGAUUGACCUGACGAGGCGUGCCGGGUUCCGAGCUCCCGUAAAACGAUCGGAAAACCAUAACUGCCAAUCAGCAGUUUGCUUACGCUGCCUAAUUCUUAGGCGGCCGCCUUCGGCGGAGGGUCCGUGAUCCGCCGGUCUGGCGUCAUCAACGCGGGCUGGGCGAAAGGGUCUCCGCCUGGGGCCUGAUGCCGAGAUCCAAUCAGGCUGGACGCAGCGCAGCUUGCCGGUUCUUCAAGCGCGGCGUUGAGAUCUCGAACCGGAUACGCACGUAGGCUCGGCUGCGCGAACCAUUUCGGACGGGGGUUCAACUCCCCCCGCCUCCACCA